GCGUCAUUAGCCAAGUGGUAUGGCAACAGGCUUUUAACCUGUAUAUCAGGAGUUCGAAUCUCUUAUGGCGCA
rnacentral:tRNA from 1 species